ACUGUUUUUUCCUUUUUCC
rnacentral:miRNA from 1 species